AUUCUCGAUUCUACGAGAAUUUUUAUGAAAGCGUUUCAUUUGCUUCUCUUCAAUGGAAGUUUCAUUUUCCCAGAAUGUGUCCUAAUUUUUGGCCUAAUUCUUCUUCUGAUGAUCGAUUCAACCUCUGAUAAAAAAGAUAUACCAUCUUGGAAUUUUUUUGGUGUUUCUCUGAUUAAAUAG
rnacentral:rRNA from 1 species